UGUCAUAGUUUCUGGAUCUAGUCUCGUUUUGUUUACAGUUUUAGCUCAUGUCAUGUUUUCAGCAGCUCCUGUCACAGCCCUGCUUCCCCCUCCCCUCACAGUUCCUCUGCUAAUCAUCUGAUUCGACUCACCUGUUGUCCUGUGUAUUUAAGCCUCACUCUCCCACAGCUCCAGUGCCAGUUUAUCAUCAGCCUCGCCUAUGAUUCACCAGCAUUCUUGUCCCUUGUCUUGUUCUGAUCUCGGCUCCUCGACCCUCGCCUUGUCCCACGGAUUAUCGCCUCUCGCCUCAGCCCAUGUCGGAAACCUUCAGUCAUCUGCUCCUCUGGUAAUGAUCCUCGCUUUGUUUCUCGGACUCCUGCCUCUCGCCUCCUCCAUUCUCGGCACUACGAACUCUCGGACUUCCUGGUUCUCGACCCCUGCUUGCCUCUCUGGACAACCCUGCUCCACGUCUCCCAGGUAUUCGACCCCUGCACUGUUUAAUGACCAACGAGUUAAGUUUGAUCCCUCAAGGCUGCAAGCUAAGGAGUUAGCUUGUUCAACCACGGCUAACGAAACACGGAAAUCUCUUCCGGGAUUCCCCAGUGACGUAAUCGGGACUCCGCAACGUCAGACCAAUCGGAUUUCCCGCUGCACUCUCCGAACCUCCAGAGAACCGAGACCUGCUGACUGCUUGUUUCCCGUUUCCAGCUAACAUUCAGUUUUACAAUAAAUCUGUUAAAACUUC